rnacentral:rRNA from 1 species
GAGUUUGAUCCUGGCUCAGGAUGAACGCUGGCGGCGUGCUUAACACAUGCAAGUCGAACGAAGCACUUUAUUUGAUUUCCUUCGGGACUGAUUAUUUUGUGACUGAGUGGCGGACGGGUGAGUAACGCGUGGGUAACCUGCCUUGUACAGGGGGAUAACAGUUGGAAACGGCUGCUAAUACCGCAUAAGCGCACAGCAUCGCAUGAUGCAGUGUGAAAAACUCCGGUGGUAUAAGAUGGACCCGCGUUGGAUUAGCUAGUUGGUGAGGUAACGGCCCACCAAGGCGACGAUCCAUAGCCGACCUGAGAGGGUGACCGGCCACAUUGGGACUGAGACACGGCCCAAACUCCUACGGGAGGCAGCAGUGGGGAAUAUUGCACAAUGGGCGAAAGCCUGAUGCAGCGACGCCGCGUGAGCGAAGAAGUAUUUCGGUAUGUAAAGCUCUAUCAGCAGGGAAGAUAAUGACGGUACCUGACUAAGAAGCACCGGCUAAAUACGUGCCAGCAGCCGCGGUAAUUC